AGUGAACGCUGGCGGUAGGCCUAACACAUGCAAGUCGAACGGCAGCACAGUAAGAGCUUGCUCUUACGGGUGGCGAGUGGCGGACGGGUGAGGAAUACAUCGGAAUCUACUUUUUCGUGGGGGAUAACGUAGGGAAACUUACGCUAAUACCGCAUACGACCUACGGGUGAAAGCAGGGGAUCUUCGGACCUUGCGCGAUUGAAUGAGCCGAUGUCGGAUUAGCUAGUUGGCGGGGUAAAGGCCCACCAAGGCGACGAUCCGUAGCUGGUCUGAGAGGGUGACAGGCGAAAUUGGGAGGGAGCUACGGCCGAGACGCGUACGGGAGGCAGGAGUGGGGAAUAGUGCACAAUGGGCGGAAGCCUGAUGCAGAAAAGCCGAGUGCGGGAUGACGGCCGUCGGGUUGUAAACCGAGUGAGCCUGUGACGAAGCGGGAGUGACGGUAAUGGGUAAAGAGGCACCGGCUAAAGACGUG
rnacentral:rRNA from 1 species